rnacentral:rRNA from 1 species
AACGAACGCUGGCGGCAUGCCUAACACAUGCAAGUCGAACGAAGGCUUCGGCCUUAGUGGCGCACGGGUGCGUAACGCGUGGGAAUCUGCCCUUUGGUUCGGAAUAACAGCUGGAAACGGCUGCUAAUACCGGAUGAUGACGAAAGUCCAAAGAUUUAUCGCCAGAGGAUGAGCCCGCGUUGGAUUAGGUAGUUGGUGGGGUAAAGGCCUACCAAGCCGACGAUCCAUAGCUGGUCUGAGAGGAUGAUCAGCCACACUGGGACUGAGACACGGCCCAGACUCCUACGGGAGGCAGCAGUGGGGAAUAUUGGACAAUGGGCGCAAGCCUGAUCCAGCAAUGCCGCGUGAGUGAUGAAGGCCCUAGGGUUGUAAAGCUCUUUUACCCGGGAAGAUAAUGACUGUACCGGGGGAAUAAGCCCCGGCUAACUCCGUG